rnacentral:rRNA from 1 species
UACGUAGGGGGCAAGCGUUGUCCGGAAUCAUUGGGCGUAAAGAGCGCGUAGGCGGCCCAGUAAGUCCGCUCUGAAAGUCAGGGGCUCAACCCCUGGAUGCGGGUGGAUACUGCUGGGCUAGAGUCCGGAAGAGGUGAGUGGAAUUCCUGGUGUAGCGGUGAAAUGCGCAGAUAUCAGGAGGAACACCAAUGGCGAAGGCAGCUCACUGGGACGGUACUGACGCUGAGACGCGAAAAGCGUGGGGAGCGAACAGG